rnacentral:rRNA from 1 species
AACGAACGCUGGCGGCGUGCCUAACACAUGCAAGUCGAGCGAGAAAACUCCCUUCGGGGGGUGAGUACAGCGGCGCACGGGUGAGUAACACGUAGGUAACCUACCCUCGAGCCUGGGAUAACCUACCGAAAGGUGGGCUAAUACCGGAUAUGACCACGGCGGUUUCGGCCGCUGCGGUGAAAGAUGGCCUAGGCUUGCAAGCUAGCACUCGAGGAUGGGCCUGCGCGCCAUUAGCUUGUUGGUGGGGUAACGGCCCACCAAGGCGAUGAUGGCUAGCUGGUCUGAGAGGAUGACCAGCCACACUGGGACUGAAACACGGCCCAGACUCCUACGGGAGGCAGCAGUGGGGGAUAUUGCGCAAUGGGCGAAAGCCUGACGCAGCGACGCCGCGUGGGUGAUGAAGGCCCUCGGGUCGUAAGCCCCUGUCGAGGGGGACGAACAAGCUCCGGCCGAAUACGUCGGAGUCCUGACGGUACCCCUAAAGGAGCACCGGCUAACUCCGUGCCAGCCGCCGCGGUAA